AUUGAACGCUGGCGGCAGGCCUAACACAUGCAAGUCGAGCGGAUGAGGAAAGCUUGCUUUUCGAUUCAGCGGCGGACGGGUGAGUAAUGCCUAGGAAUCUGCCUGUUAGUGGGGGAUAACUCGGGGAAACUCGGGCUAAUACCGCAUACGUCCUACGGGAGAAAGUGGGGGAUCUUCGGACCUCACGCUAACAGAUGAGCCUAGGUCGGAUUAGCUAGUAGGUGAGGUAAUGGCUCACCUAGGCGACGAUCCGUAACUGGUCUGAGAGGAUGAUCAGUCACACUGGAACUGAGACACGGUCCAGACUCCUACGGGAGGCAGCAGUGGGGAAUAUUGGACAAUGGGCGAAAGCCUGAUCCAGCCAUGCCGCGUGUGUGAAGAAGGUCUUCGGAUUGUAAAGCACUUUAAGUUGGGAGGAAGGGUAUUCACCUAAUACGUGGGUACUUUGACGUUACCAACAGAAUAAGCACCGGCUAACUCUGUGCCAGCAGCGGCCGUAAUAC
rnacentral:rRNA from 1 species